UUUUCGGCAAUGGGGGCAACCCUGACCGAGCGACGCCGCGCGAGUGAAGAAGGCCUCCGGGUUGUAAAGCGCUGUUGUAAGGGAAGAACCGUAGUGAUAGGGAAUGAUCACUACCUGACGGUAUCUUACCAGAAAGCGACGGCUAACUCCUUGUCAGCGGCCGCGGUAAUACGCAGGGGGCAAGCGUGUUCCGGAAUUAUUGGGCGUAAAGGGAGCGCAGGGGGUUUAUUAAGUCUGAUGAUAAAACACGGAGCUCAACUUCGUGAUGCAUUAGAAACUGGUAGACUAGAGUGCAGGAGAGGUGAGUGGAAUUCCAUGUGUAGCGGUAAAAGGCGUAGAUAUAUGGAGGAACACCAGUGGCGAAGGCGGCUCACUGGCCUGUAACUGACGCUGAGGCUCGAAAGCGUGGGGAGCAAAU
rnacentral:rRNA from 1 species